AUUGAACGCUGGCGGAAUGCUAAACACAUGCAAGUCGAACGGCAGCACGGGUGCUUGCACCUGGUGGCGAGUGGCGAACGGGUGAGUAAUGCGUCGGAACGUACCGAGUAAUGGGGGAUAACGCAGCGAAAGUUGUGCUAAUACCGCAUACGCCCUGAGGGGGAAAGUGGGGGACCGCAAGGCCUCACGUUAUUCGAGCGGCCGACGUCUGAUUAGCUAGUUGGUGGGGUAAAGGCCUACCAAGGCGACGAUCAGUAGCGGGUCUGAGAGGAUGAUCCGCCACACUGGGACUGAGACACGGCCCAGACUCCUACGGGAGGCAGCAGUGGGGAAUUUUGGACAAUGGGGGCAGCCCUGAUCCAGCCAUUCCGCGUGAGUGAAGAAGGCCUUCGGGUUGUAAAGCUCUUUCAGCUGGAACGAAACGGUACGCGCUAACAUCGUGUGCUAAUGACGGUACCGGCAGAAGAAGCACCGGCUAACUACGUGCCAGCAGCCGCGGUAAUACGUAGGGUGCGAGCGUUAAUCGGAAUUACUGGGCGUAAAGCGUGCGCAGGCGGAUUGUUAAGCAAGACGUGAAAUCCCCGGGCUUAACCUGGGAAUGGCGUUUUGAACUGGCAGUCUAGAGUGCGUCAGAGGGGGGUGGAAUUCCACGUGUAGCAGUGAAAUGCGUAGAGAUGUGGAGGAAUACUGAUGGCGAACGCAGCCCCCUGGGAUGACACUGACGCUCAUGUACGAAAGCGUGGG
rnacentral:rRNA from 1 species